AAGGUAAUAAUCAGUAAAAAAAAAAAAAGAGCUAAUCAAGUGUUCCUAUAUUCUACCUUGAGUGCAGAAAUGUAAGGAUACCAAUAAAUAUACGUAAUUUUUCUCUUUUAAAUCUCAUUUUACCCAUGCAGACUCCGCCCUCCAUACCCAAGCCCAUGCUUCACCCAUCUUCUUCUGUCUCUUUCCCCAAUACUCACUCUUUUACACCGCUCAAGUAAACCACACACAACGCAUUGAUCUGACUGAUCAAUCUGCAUCCUUUUGGGAAGCCAGCAGCACUGCAAGCGGUCGGCUCAGUUUCCUGUCAUUUCAGGAGUCAACGCAGAAAGUUUCAAAAGCAACGCUCGGUUUCCUGUAAAAUUUGCAAGGUGUACGU
rnacentral:lncRNA from 1 species